rnacentral:lncRNA from 1 species
CCAGAAUCACUGUGGGAGGCCUCCAGAAAACACUUAGUGUUCUGUUAGUGCCCUCUGCAGUUCUCUUCAGAAUCAACUUUGAGGAGUGGCUGGAGUAGAAGGGCUUCUACUAGACAAACCUUCCUCCUUCUUCACUUCGCAGUAAGCUGUUUCUUUCUCACACUUCCCUAUAAUUACCAGGGACCUGGCAUGUUCAUUUUGUACUCUGCAAGGAAGCCCACUUCACAGGAGGAUCACUCUUCAGUAAAGAUAUUUUUGAAAUGUUUAUUUUGAACUCAAAUACUUCAUGUUAACUAAGGAUUCCCAGCAGGUAAGCUCUCCAGGGAGGAUUUAAUUUACUGUUGAGUGAAUCUAUGAGUAAAGUAUUUUCAUUCAUUGAUAUGCGUGUGUGUGUGUGUGUGUGUGUGUGAAAUCACAUUUAAAAAUCUAUCUUAACCUAGUGCAGAAUGUUGGUAUGGGGUAUGAUAAUGCUGCAUGUAUGAAGGAUAAGGGGUAUGUGAGAACUCUGGGUUUUCUCAAUUUUUCUGUAAAACUAAAUCUGCUCAGGCCAGAGAUUUAGCUGAGUGGCACCACACCUGCCUUGCAAGUGCCAGGUCAUGAGUUCAAUUCCCCAUACAAAAAAACAAAAAGAAAACAGAACAAAAAAACCCAACAAAC